UUUUUUCUUUUUUUUUUUUGUCUUUGGUUCUUUUAGGGCCCCAUCUGUGGCAUAUGGAGGUUCCCAGGCUAGGGGUCUAAUCGGGGCUGUUGCUGCCGGCCUAUGCCUGAGCCACAGCAACAAAGGAUCCGAGUCGCGUCUGUGACCCACACCACAGCUCACGGCAACGCCAGAUCAUUAACCCACUGAGUGAGGCCAGGGAUCAAACCCUCAACCUCAUGGUUCCUAGUCGGAUUCGUUCUCACUGCGCCACAAUGGGAACACCCUACGACUUCAUCUUAACUUCCUUAUUCUCAAAAUCCCCAUCUUCCUUGCAACUCAUGCUGCAUGUGCACACGGACGAGCAUCUCGCUGUGCACUGUCCAGCACAGUAGCCACAAGCCACACGUCCCCAGUAAGCACUUCCAAUGUGGCGAGUCAAACUGAGAUGUACACUACUUCUUCCCUUGGGGAAGCUAUAAAAACUCAACUGUCCCUUCUACCAUUAUGAACCCACGUAGCGACAGCAUUUAUACUGCCUCGCACUGAUGAUCCUGGACACUCACGGGUUCUUUCUCUCUAUGACUAGUGCUGUGGGUCCUCUCCCCAAACCUCCAAUCUCUAUUAGCUUUCUGAGGGUGCCUUCUCAAAUCACAAUAUAACUACCUCUAACGACCCCCUUGUAAUUAAACUGGAAAUCAUAUUAAGCCUAGGAUUUGAAUUUGAUAAAUUUAAAUGUUCUCCCAACAGAUACUACGGAAACAAUUUCCUGCCAUUUUGGAAUCUGUCAAAACUCACGGAGUAAGUCGGAGCCAAAUCCAGGAAAAAAACCCACAACCAAUAUUUUUCCAUUUCUUUUGUUCACAUACAAAGUCAAGAUGACUUUGACAUAAAUAACUUAUGAACAUCAGACAGAAUUCAUUCAGUACAGCUCCUCUAAAUCGUAUCUUUCAAAAAAAAAUAGUUUUUUAAGAGAAGAGAAAUUUUAAAGAGGGGUUGUGUUAAUAUAUGACUUUGCAAAACACUGCAUGCUAUAGCCAUCUCUUUGGCAAUAUGCACUUGAGCCCAUUAUAGUUCAGAAGAGUCCUGGAGUUUUUUGUUUGUUUGUUUUUGUUUUUUAAACCAUUAAAUUUUCUUUAACUGAAGGUUUUUUUCUCCCAAUAUUACACAUUCUCCUUUACUGGACAUGACUCCAGUUCCAUAGCCUAAGGCCCUAGUGUCUGUGCAGCAUAGUUUGGCAAAUGCUGGUCUUGAAAAGUACAUAGGAGGGAAAGAGAAAUGAACACAGUGCCAACUCAGUUUAAGGAACAUUCUGUAUAACUUUAGCAAGCAAUACAGCUGCUUUGGACCUCAGUUUUUCUAAAACCGAGAGUUAUGGUGUAUGUUGCUCACAGCUAUAUAAUGCAAAAUUACUCUAAUAUAUUUUCCACUGCAAAGGCAAAUCAUAAACUUUAUUCCUUAAACCAAAAAUCAACCAUUUAGUGUAUAAUCUUCAGACUCCACUGGGGCUCCUAGAGAUGGUCCUUACAUGAAAGAGCUCACAUUUAGCUGAGAAUUCUCACACUUCAGUAAAUCACUACAGGGAGCUAUUAGAGGAACAAAUACUGAUUCAGCCCAAAAGGGUCAGGCCCAGAAAGCUCUAAGGAGGAGGAGUGGACCUGAGGGAUGAAUAUCAAUUUAUUCAAAGGGCUAAAGGUGAAGGGCAUCCCAAGCAGAGCGGAGUUUAAGAAUAUGAAUCUUUAAACAGUCUGAAAGUAAAUACAAUUCCUCUGUAAAUACAUUUCACCCUAGCCUCUUCAAUGCGUGUUCUACUUCCACCCUUGCAAAUAUUAAUAUCUUAUCUAUCAGUGUGGCUCGUUUACAAGAAGGUUGAUACUAAACAAUAACAGUCCUUAAAAAAUAACAGUACUUUUAAAAAGCAACCUUGGGUUAGUGCACAGUUUUAUAAGAAAUAAUACGUGCAUGGCAUAGAACUGAGAAAGCAUCUGCCUACUUCUAUUGACUAAUUGAUUAAUAAUGACCCUAUUUUCAAUUUCCAUAUUACAGACACCCAACACACACAAAUACAUUAACCACCAACCCUUAAACGUUAACAUUCUUUCUAAAAUCUCAAUGCAUGGACUCAAAAAGCAUCAAGAGAGAAAAACAAGAGCCAACAUAUGUGACACAAGAACAAACACGACAUCAGAUCUUGGUACAGAGUAACGGGUCCACUGAAUGUUGGGAGCUAUUUUCCUGAGUUUGAGAGGUAGAUACAUAGUCUGUAGUGCUAAAAAUAAAGUUGUACAAUAUCUCUAUGCUUCUUCUUUACAUCUCCACUCAACAAGGUCUUUAAAAAUAGCCUAAGGCUCUUUUCCAGGGAGAGGCACUGAUACACAGAGCAAGAGGGGGGAAAAAAAAAAUCAUAGGUCACAAAUAUAAAGUGCACUUCAUCUUUUUCUUUCAGAGAGCAUUUGAGCUUUUUUUUAAAUGAAGCAUUCAACUGUGCAUCUUUUCAUUGUUCUUAAAACAAAAUGUACAGGCAG
rnacentral:lncRNA from 1 species